rnacentral:lncRNA from 1 species
AAAAAAAGCAGCGUAUCAGCUAUCCUGAUCAGCGUCCAGCAUUUGCUGCCUGGUCACUGCCCUUAAAACUACCUUUGUAAAAGUGGGAUCAAGAGAUGAGGAAGAAUCACACCGAGUCACCUAUUCCAUCCCAUAUCUAUCUUACCAGGAAGCUCAGUGAAUCUUUCCAAUCAACAGGAACACUGAUGCCCAAGGUUUUACUGGAUGGGGAGUCAGUGUUACUUUAAAAUGUGCCUCUUCCUGUACAACCACAAAUGACUAAAAUCUCAACCACCAAGAAUGUAUGUGUUACUGAUUCCUCAGUGAUACACAUUUUAAGAGGUAGGUACCAUAUUUUUGUCAGUAUAACAUAAGUUUGGUGAUGAAAUAGUUGGCAUGGAAAGCAGAGUCCUGAAAACUGAGAAGACCCAGUGGAGCUGCGGCUGUAUCUUUUCUUUCAUCCCAUCUGAGCAGUUUCCAUGGGAACACUUAUUCAGGUCUGAGGACGCUUACCAAAGCAGAUGCUGUAUCUUUGCUGAGGUCUGGAGUGUGGUAUGCAGGCACAGAAAAGACGGUUGGCUU